rnacentral:rRNA from 1 species
AAGAAGCGAAGCGGUGACGUGGAGCAAACCUCAGAAAGCCAAUCUCAGUUCGGAUUGUAGGCUGCAACUCGCCUACAUGAAGUUGGAAUCGCUAGUAAUCGCGAAUCAGAAUGUCGCGGUGAAUACGUUCCCGGGUCUUGUACACACCGCCCGUCACACCACGAGAGUUUACAACACCCGAAGUCAGUGGCCUAACCGCAAGGAGGGAGCUGCCUAAGGUGGGGUAGAUGAUUGGGGUGAAGUCGUAACAAGGUAAC